rnacentral:tRNA from 1 species
UGGUCCAGUGGUUAGGAUUUGGUGUUUUCACUGCCAAGGGCCCAGGUUCAAUCCCUGG